CAUUCGCCCCACCAGGCUUCCGUCUGACGAACCUAUUAGGGGGCCUCUCAUUCCGUCGCGGGGCUGCGGUGGUGGCCGGCCGUGUCUCGUUCCGUUUAGUGUAUUUAGAAUCUCCACGCUGAACCUUUUCGAUGUCCACCUCAGGCUGUACGACUGGAGGUCUUGUCCGCCUCUGGAAGGUUCGUUUUGGCAGCUGCGAAAAAAAAUGACGAUGAUUCUGGAUGUGACCUGAAUUGAGAAGAUCAUACCUCCACAAAGCUAUGGAGGAAGAUCAAGAAACUAGGAAGAUGGCCGUAUUUUUCAAAUAGUAGAAGAAAAGCAAAAUGGCGCAUGGCAAAUUGGAGGCAAAUCAUAAAAAAAAAUUUACAAAUAAAUUUAUAGUAUUUUCUUCAGUUUUCGUGUGUCAUACAUAUAUUUAAAGCUACUUUUACGGUAUGAUCUUGCGUUACAAACUUUAACCGUCCGUAAACCACGAAAACUGUAAACUGUCGGAAAUAAUAAACAAUAUAGUAAAAAAACCCAGCAAGAUUAGAUAAGCCGUAAAAGUAGUUUGAAUUAAAUAAAUUCAUUUCAAUCGAAUUCAACUUAAUGAGUUUUCUUCUAGUUUCGAAGGUUGUGGUAACUCUAAAAAUGAGUUAAAUUCGUAGCGUUUACAGUACGAUUGAAAUGUUAUAUGAUUUGAUUCGAUUGAUUGAUUCCGUGGCCAAUCAUGCUAAGCCAUUUCGGGAUGUGACAACUUAAAAAAAACUAUAACGCCGAUAAAAAAUUUGAGUAAAUGAAGAAAAUAUAAAACUAUAAAUCCGAGUUAGAACUUUGAAUGUAAAAUAAACGAUUCAACUUAUUGGAAUUGUAAAUAAAACAGAUCAAUUAUC